UGGGGAAUAUUGCACAAUGGAGGGAACUCUGAUGCAGCGACGCCGCGUGAACGAAGAAGGCUUUCGAGUCGUAAAGUUCUUUUAUAUGGGAAGAUAAUGACGGUACCAUAAGAAAAAGCCCCGGCUAACUACGUGCGAGCAGCCGCGGUAAUACGUAGGGGGCUAGCGUUGUCCGGAAUCACUGGGCGUAAAGGGUUCGCAGGCGGAAAUGCAAGUCAGGUGUAAAAGGCAGUAGCUUAACUACUGUAAGCAUUUGAAACUGCAUAUCUUGAGAAGAGUAGAGGUAAGUGGAAUUUUUAGUGUAGCGGUGAAAUGCGUUGAUAUUAAAAAGAAUACCGGUGGCGAAGGCGACUUACUGGGCUCAUUCUGACGCUGAGGAACGAAAGCGUGGGUAGCAAACAGG
rnacentral:rRNA from 1 species